rnacentral:rRNA from 1 species
ACGUAGGGAGCGAGCGUUACCCGGAAUUACUGGGCGUAAAGUGCGCGUAGGCGGCUUGGAAAGUCUCUUUUGAAAGCUCCCGGCUUAACUGGGAGAGGUGAGGAGAAACUUCCUGGCUUGAGGGCAGUAGAGGAAAGCGGAAUUCCCGGUGUAGCGGUGAUAUGCGUAGAUAUCGGGAGGAACACCAGUGGCGAAGGCGGCUUUCUGGGCUGUACCUGACGCUGAGGCGCGAGAGCGUGGGGAGCAAACAGG